CAGUGGAAUCACGGCAGAAGAAGGCAGAAACCUCUUUGGAGGGUUAUUCCUGCUCCUCUUGGCAAAGCAGUCGGUGAUGGGGCUAGAAGUGGAGUAUCACUGUCUGAUUUAAAAUAUGUAAAAGACAUUCAGGACUCUGAAGGAGCUAAAGCUCAGGAAAAACCUCUUUGAAGUCACCAAAGCUGCCCAGGAAAGGGUGUCGAGCCUUUCUGGAGGA
rnacentral:lncRNA from 1 species